GCUACCCCCACUCUCUCCCCCCUCCUCACCCCGACAAUCCCCCCACCAUCCAGCCCAUUCAGCUCCUGCCAGCACCCUCUUGGAUUUUUACCCCUUUAACUGCGACAACUUGGUUUUCUCGGAGCGGCGGUGGACACCGGGAGGUACGGUGAGGUCAAGGUCGUGUUGAGAAAAUACUCCUUCAUUUUAUUUAUUUUUUCCUCUGCUUUAAGAGAUUAUAUUGCAAUUCUGUGUUAGUCCUGUGCAACUUUUCACAUGUCAGGGAAUGUGUAAAGAUGAAUUUUCCUCGUGUUUAGCAGUUCUUUAGACUUUGAAAGUUUGUGCUUGGGCUUUUGACGCAGAGGUUAUUUAUAACUUCAUUAAUGCAAAUGUAGGCGUAAAUAGGUGUGAAACCCAAUUGGAGUUGCACUUUACGGGCUAUGAUUUUAGUUGUGUGUGUGUGUGUGUGUGUGUGUGUGUGUGUGUGUGUGUGUGUGUGUGUGUGUGUGUGUGUGUGUGUGUGUAUGUGUGUGUGUAAACCGUGUUGCCCUCAGGACAAGCAGCGGCCAGCAGCUGUUUGACGCAUGCACGGAGCCUCCACCAGCAGAGCACAAGUCCAGGUUUUUUUUUUCUCCUUUCUCCCACCAGUGUUCACUUUUGUAACAAUCUUAUUUGCAGCAGUUAUUUCUGGGAGCAGUGUUUAUGUUCGCUGUAGGAGCUGCUGUGGCCGCGUGAAGCUGAGCGCACACUACCUGAAGGAAAGGUGCACGAGCCGCAGACUUUCUUUUGUAGGUAUGACUUUUAUGCACCUGUUUGUUUGUUUGUUUGCUGCAGGCGAGGGGAUGCGCUAGCCGUGCGCCCAGAUUAUGAUACGGGCUGAAGAUUAACAGGUAUUUUUUAAACGAUUUUUAUUUGACUCAUGUUGAUUCAUUGACUGAUUUAUUUAAAUUAUUUUAUUGAAUUUUAUUGUAUUUAAUUCAGAAAUACGGAGAAGUAAAUGACGAUACAUAAAAGCGGUUUGUUAUAGCAACGACGCAGCUUAGGAAAAUAUCAGUGUAUUAAUGAGGCCAAUGGGUCACAUAUAAAUAUGAAGGUUUAAUUGAUAUGAAAG
rnacentral:lncRNA from 1 species